rnacentral:ribozyme from 1 species
AAACAGACACAGAGUUGAAAGAAGGGAAAGUGGAUUGCCGAGAUGACUUCCUAUUUGUUUGUUGUCUUUCUGGGUUUGUUUUUUUGGCUUUCUUCUUUAGAGUUUCUAUUUCC